rnacentral:rRNA from 1 species
UGGGGAAUUUUGGACAAUGGGCGAAAGCCUGAUCCAGCAAUGCCGCGUGUGUGAAGAAGGCCCUUCGGGUUGUAAAGCACUUUUUGUCCGGAAAGAAAUCCUUGGCUCUAAUACAGUCGGGGGAUACGGUACCGGAAGAAUAAGCACCGGCUAACUACGUGCCAGCAGCCGCGGUAAUACGUAGGGUGCAAGCGUUAAUCGGAAUUACUGGGCGUAAAGCGUGCGCAGGCGGUUUGCUAAGACCGAUGUGAAAUCCCCGGGCUCAACCUGGGAACUGCAUUGGUGACUGGCAGGCUAGAGUAUGGCAGAGGGGGGUAGAAUUCCACGUGUAGCAGUGAAAUGCGUAGAGAUGUGGAGGAAUACCGAUGGCGAAGGCAGCCCCCU